rnacentral:rRNA from 1 species
UGAGGAAUAUUGCGCAAUGGGCGAAAGCCUGACGCAGCGACGCCGCGUGAAGGAUGAAGGUCUUCGGAUUGUAAACUUCUGUUAAGUGGGAAGAAAGGCUGAUCUCUAAUAUAGAUCAGAGAUGACGGUACCACUAGAGAAAGCACCGGCUAACUUCGUGCCAGCAGCCGCGGUAAUACGAAGGGUGCAAACGUUAUUCGGAAUCACUGGGCGUAAAGGGUGUGUAGACGGCAUACUAAGUUCGUUGUUUAAUCUUCCGGCCUAACCGGAAGCUCGCGAUGGAAACUGGUAAGCUUGAGGAUGGAAGAGAGAAGUGGAAUUCUCGGAGUAGCGGUAAAAUGCGUAGAUCUCGAGAGGAACACCGAUGGCGAAGGCAGCUUCUUGGUCCACUCCUGACGUUGAGACACGAAAGCGUGGGUAGCAAACAGGAUUAGAUACCCCUGUAGUCC